rnacentral:rRNA from 1 species
UACGAAGGGGGCUAGCGUUGUUCGGAGUUACUGGGCGUAAAGGGCGCGUAGGCGGCGCACCAAGUCAGGCGUGAAAGCCCUGGGCUCAACCCGGGAAUUGCGCUUGAGACUGGUGUGCCUGAGUACGGGAGAGGAUAGUGGAAUUCCCAGUGUAGAGGUGAAAUUCGUAGAUAUUGGGAAGAACACCGGUGGCGAAGGCGGCUAUCUGGACCGUAACUGACGCUGAGGCGCGAAAGCGUGGGGAGCAAACAGG